rnacentral:rRNA from 1 species
GCCGGAGAACCGUCCAACCUCGUGAAUUCGAUGUCGUCCGAGUCCGAUCGAAUCGAACUGAAAACUUUCAACAACGGAUCUCUUGGUUCUGGCAUCGAUGAAGAACGCAGC